rfam:Felis catus isolate Cinnamon breed Abyssinian chromosome E1, whole genome shotgun sequence.
GCCUGGGUGGCUCAGUCGGUUGAGUGUUUGACUUCAGCUCAAGUCAUGACCUCACAGUUUGUGGGUUUGAGCCCCACAUAGGGCU